AGAGUUUGAUCCUGGCUCAGGACGAACAUUGGCGGCGCGCCUAAUGCAUGCAAGUCGAGCGAACUCGUUUUCUUCGGAAAGCACAUAGUUAGCGGCGAACGGCUGAGUAACGCGUAAGUAACCUGCCUCGAAGAGGGGAAAAACUAUGAGAAAUCAUAGCUAAUUCCGCGUAAUGUCGAUUAAUUAAUUUAAUUGAAGAAAGAUUUAUCGCUUUGAGAUGGGCUUGCGUCCUAUCAGGUAGUUGGUAAGGUAAUAGCUUACCAAGCCUAAGACGGGUAGCUGGAGUGAGAGCUUGACCAGCCAGAGGGGGACUGAGACACGGCCCCCACUCCUACGGGAGGCAGCAGCAGGGAAUCUUGCACAAUGGGCGAAAGCCUGAUGCAGCGACGCCGCGUGAGGGAUGAAGGUUUUAGGAUCGUAAACCUCUUUUCUUAGGGAAUAGUUUGGAAGGUACCUAAGGAAUAAGUCACGGCUAACUACGUGCCAGCAGCCGCGGUAAUACGUAGGUGGCAAAUGUUGUCCGGAAUCAUUGGGCGUAAAGGGUCCGUAGGUGGCAUAAAAAGUCUUAUGUGAAAUCUCUUGGCUCAACCAAGAAACGCCAUAAGAAACUUUUAUGCUAGAGAUCAUCAGAGGGAGGUAGAAUUCCAGGUGUAGUGGUGAAAUGCGUAGAUAUCUGGAGGAAUACCAAUGGCGAAAGCAGCCUCCUGGGGUGAAUCUGACAUUGAGGGACGAAAGCGUGGGUAGCAAACCGGAUUAGAUACCCGGGUAGUCCAUGCCGUAAACGAUGAAUACUGGGUCUUCGGGGAAUCGACCCCCUGUGGACCGAAGCUAACGCGUUAAGUAUUCCGCCUGGGGAGUACGGUCGCAAGACUAAAACUCAAAGGAAUUGACGGGGGCCCGCACAAGCAGCGGAGCGUGUGGUUUAAUUCGAUGGUAAACGAAGAACCUUACCUAGGUUUGACAUAUAAGUAGUACUGACCCGAAAGGUGAUGGACCCGCAAGGGAGCUUAUACAGGUGCUGCAUGGUUGUCGUCAGCUCGUGCCGUGAGGUGUUGGGUUAA
rnacentral:rRNA from 1 species